rnacentral:sRNA from 26 species
CCCUAGCCCUGAUUGCAGCGAAAAUCCUUUUUGUUUUUUCCUUUAAAAAACAAAAAGAUUGUAGCGAAAAGCAGGAUUAGCU